CCUCCAGGACCAAUAUAUAGGACUCUAAUAUAUAUCAAGUUUAGUCUAAAAUCUUUAAGUUGACGUCCAUUUGUCAAUGACCCAUCUAUCGUAUGAUGUCUUCUUCAGGCCCGUGGUCUUAGCAUCACCGCACUGAGGCCUCGCUUGCUUUUGUUCAACUUCACUGGAUACAGUUUGAAGAUAAAGGACAUGUCUGCCGAAAAGGGACCAUUAGUAAUUGGACAGUUGACUCAAAAACGGUUUCAUGGACACGCGCUGGCUAUUUCUUCAUUAUUUCUACAUCAAUUAAGCAGGUAAAAGGUCAGGAGUUGAUUCGAAGUGUGCUAUUUGCAUUUGGAAGCUAUUGCUGUGAACCCACAUCAUGCAGUCAAAGGAUCUCUCCAUACAAGUGAAACAAGACUAUUGUUAGGCUUCAAAAACCAAACCGAUCCGUCAGAGAGAUUGCAGGAACAUUAGGAGCGGCCAAAUCAACAGUUUGGUACAUUCAGAGAAAAAAA